rnacentral:sRNA from 1 species
AAGCUUAUUUCUGACGCAGGGUACCAGGGGGAGAUCACCAGUGUGUCCACAGCAUGCCAGCAGCUAGAAGUGUUCUCGAGAGUGCUCCGGACCUCUCUAGCUACAAUUUUAGAUGGAGGAGAAGAAAACCUUGAAAAAAAUCUCCCUGAGUUUGCCAAGAUGGUGUGCCACGGGGAGCACACGUACCUGUUUGCCCAGGCCAUGAUGUCCGUGCUGGCCCAGGAGGAGCAGGGGGGCUCCGCUGUGCGCAGGAUCGCCCAGGAAGUGCAGCGCUUUGCCCAGGAGAAAGGUCACGACGCCAGUCAGAUCACACUAGCCUUGGGCACAGCUGCCUCCUACCCCAGGGCCUGCCAGGCUCUCGGGGCCAUGUUGUCCAAAGGAGCCCUGAACCCUGCCGACAUCACCGUCCUGUUCAAGAUGUUCACAAGCAUGGACCCUCCUCCGGUUGAACUCAUCCGCGUUCCAGCCUUCCUGGACCUGUUCAUGCAGUCACUCUUUAAACCAGGGGCUCGGAUCAACCAGGACCACAAGCACAAAUACAUCCACAUCUUGGCGUACGCAGCAAGCGUGGUUGAGACCUGGAAGAAGAACAAGCGAGUGAGCAUCAAUAAAGAUGAGCUGAAGUCAACGUCAAAAGCUGUCGAAACCGUUCACAAUUUGUGUUGCAACGAGAACAAAGGGGCCUCUGAACUAGUGGCAGAAUUGAGCACACUUUAUCAGUGUAUUAGGUUUCCAGUGGUAGCAAUGGGUGUGCUGAAGUGGGUGGAUUGGACUGUAUCAGAACCAAGGUACUUUCAGCUGCAGACUGACCAUACCCCCGUCCACCUGGCGUUGCUGGAUGAGAUCAGCACCUGCCACCAGCUCCUGCACCCCCAGGUCCUGCAGCUGCUUGUUAAGCUUUUUGAGACUGAGCACUCCCAGCUGGACGUGAUGGAGCAGGUGAGCAGUGCCCGUGGGGCUGGCCAGGGGGCUGGGGAGGACCCCCUCUAACCAGCUCCCUGUCCCCCUUCUUCUGUAGCUUGAGUUGAAGAAGACACUGCUGGACAGGAUGGUUCACCUGCUGAGUCGAGGUUAUGUACUUCCUGUUGUCAGUUACAUCCGAAAGUGUCUGGAGAAGCUGGACACUGACAUUUCACUCAUUCGCUAUUUUGUCACUGAGGUCAGCAAUGCACUGUUGGUUUCAUGUUUCAUACUGUUGACACUAGCACUGCCCUUUUUGGCUUAAUUUAGUUCAUUUUGUACCUAACUGAGAACUGUGCUUUCUGAUGUAGUGAUGGCAAUGACAGAUACUCGUUUACCAAAAAGCACCUUCUGCCUGCAGCAGCUGCACGACGCACUUUACCUCCAUUACCACCCUGGGCAUCUGAAUCUUGGAGAUGGGUGGUGUCACCAGGGAAGCCGGUGGGGGCGGGGAAGGAUUGUUUUCCACACUGAUGGCCACUUCACCCGGAUGUCGGUGGAUGCCCCGCACUAGUGUGCGGAAGAAGUCACCCUGUGCUCCCCCACACAGGUGCUGGAUGUCAUUGCUCCUCCUUAUACCUCUGACUUCGUGCAACUUUUCCUCCCCAUCCUGGAGAAUGACAGCAUCGCAGGUACCAUCAAAACGGAAGGCGAGCAUGACCCUGUGACGGAGUUUAUAGCUCACUGCAAAUCUAACUUCAUCAUGGUGAACUAAUUUAGAGCAUCCUCCAGAGCUGAAGCAGAACAUUCCAGAACCAGUUGUGGAAAAAACCCUUUCAAGAAGCUGUUUUAAGAGGCUCGGGCAGCGUCUUGAAAGUGGGCACCGCUGGGAGGAGGUGGAUGACUUCUUUACAAAGGAAAAUGGUAGCAGCUUCAGUGAGAAACUGCUCUUACGAACAGUCCCUUCUCUGCUGUCAAUCCAAUACUGCUCCCAAAUCCUGUUUUCAGUGUUCAUUUCCCUCAAGGCAGGCGCUGGGCUCCCAUGACCCCUCAGGACAGAUCCGGCCGUCAGCCGCGGGCCGCUGGGAACUCUACUCGGGGAACUCGUUUCAAAGCUGACCUCAGUUUUCUCACAAGAACCCAGUUAGUUGAUGUUUUAUUGUAAUUGUCUUAAUUUGCUAAGAACAAGUAAUAAGUAAAUUUUUAAAAAGCCUUUCUGCUGGGUUGGAUUAG